rnacentral:lncRNA from 1 species
CUUCUUUCUUCCAUGCUAUUGUUAGAUGUAUGUCCUAGAAGCCUAUAUGGCUGACAUAUUGUAAUUAAUCUAGGAUACAAUUUUGUACUUAAUAUAUUGAUAUGAUCAAUAAAAGGAUAAAUUCUUUUUCAUUCAAAUGUAAUGUAUCCUUGAAUCGUCCAUGGAAUUAGUUUUGAUACAUACUCUUAAGGUGUUGAAAAUUAGAGAUAUGUAUUUAAUUCCUAAAAGCUUUCGAUCAUAGGAUCAUCAUGAGGAUGGUGACAAAUUCGAAUAGACUGGCGCAC